rnacentral:tRNA from 1 species
CCGGGUGUAGUGCAGCGGCAGUCACGUUGCCCUUUCAAGGCAGAAGACGUCGGUUCGAAUCCGGCCGCCCGGG